GACGAACGCUGGCGGCGUGCUUAACACAUGCUAGUCGAACGGAAAGGCCCUGCUUUUGUGGGGUGCUCGAGUGGCGAACGGGUGAGUAACACGUGAGUAACCUGCCCUUGACUUUGGGAUAACUUCAGGAAACUGGGGCUAAUACCGGAUAGGAGCUCCUGCUGCAUGGUGGGGGUUGGAAAGUUUCGGCGGUUGGGGAUGGACUCGCGGCUUAUCAGCUUGUUGGUGGGGUAGUGGCUUAUCAAGGCUUUGACGGGUAGCCGGCCUGAGAGGGUGACCGGCCACAUUGGGACUGAGAUACGGCCCAGACUCCUACGGGGGGCAGCAGUGGGGAAUAUUGCACAAUGGGCGGAAGCCUGAUGCAGCAACGCCGCGUGCGGGAUGACGGCCUUCGGGUUGUAAACCGCUUUCGCCUGUGACGUAGCGUGAGUGACGGUAAUGGGUAAAGAAGCACCGGCUAACUACGUGCCAGCAGCCGCGGUGAUACGUAGGGUGCGAGCGUUGUCCGGAUUUAUUGGGCGUAAAGGGCUCGUAGGUGGUUGAUCGCGUCGGAAGUGUAAUCUUGGGGCUUAACCCUGAGCGUGCUUUCGAUACGGGUUGACUUGAGGAAGGUAGGGGAGAAUGGAAUUCCUGGUGGAGCGGUGGAAUGCGCAGAUAUCAGGAGGAACACCAGUGGCGAAGGCGGUUCUCUGGGCCUUUCCUGACGCUGAGGAGCGAAAGCGUGGGGAGCGAACAGGCUUAGAUACCCUGGUAGUCCACGCUGUAAACGGUGGGUACUAGGUGUGGGGUCCAUUCCACGGGUUCCGUGCCGUAGCUAACGCUUUAAGUACCCCGCCUGGGGAGUACGGCCGCAAGGCUAAAACUCAAAGGAAUUGACGGGGCCCCGCACAAGCGGCGGAGCAUGCGGAUUAAUUCGAUGCAACGCGUAGAACCUUACCUGGGUUUGACAUGGAUCGGGAGUGCUCAGAGAUGGGUGUGCCUCUUUUGGGGUCGGUUCACAGGUGGUGCAUGGCUGUCGUCAGCUCGUGUCGCGAGAUGUUGGGUUAAGUCCCGCAACGAGCGCAACCCUUGUUCACUGUUGCCAGCACGUUAUGGUGGGGACUCAGUGGAGACCGCCGGGGUCAACUCGGAGGAAGGUGGGGAUGACGUCAAGUCAUCAUGCCCCUUAUGUCCAGGGCUUCACGCAUGCUACAAUGGCUGGUACAGAGAGUGGCGAGCCUGUGAGGGUGAGCGAAUCUCGGAAAGCCGGUCUCAGUUCGGAUUGGGGUCUGCAACUCGGCCUCAUGAAGUCGGAGUCGCUAGUAAUCGCAGAUCAGCAACGCUGCGGUGAAUACGUUCCCGGG
rnacentral:rRNA from 1 species